rnacentral:rRNA from 1 species
UACGUAGGGGGCAAGCGUUGUCCGGAAUCAUUGGGCGUAAAGCGCGUGUAGGCGGCCUUGUAAGUCCGUUCUGAAAGCCCGGGGCUCAACCCCGGGAGGCGGAUGGAUACUGCAGGGCUCGAGUACGGAAGAGGCGAGUGGAAUUCCCGGUGUAGCGGUGAAAUGCGCAGAUAUCGGGAGGAACACCAAUGGCGAAGGCAGCUCGCUGGGACGUUACUGACGCUGAGGCACGAAAGCUAGGGUAGCAAACGGG